GCUACCAAUCUCAUUUUGGGGGUAUGCCUUAGAGACUGCCGCCCAUAUCCUUAAUCUAGUCCCUACAAAGAAGGUUGCCAAAACACCUCACGAGGUGUGGACUGGAAAAGUUCCCAAUCUAGACCACAUCAAGAUUUGGGGUUGUGAGGCUUUCGUGAGNGCUACCAAUCUCAUUUUUGGGGUAUGCCUUAGAGACUGCCACCCAUAUCCUUAAUCUACUCCCUACAAAGAAGGUUGCCAAAACACCUCAUGAGAUGUGGACUGGAAAAGUUCCCAAUCUAGACCACAUCAAGAUUUGGGGUUGUGAGGCUUUCGUGAGACGCGAGACUCACGAUAAGCUCGAACCCCGAAGCGAAAGGUGUAUUUUCAUCGGCUAUCCACAAAAAUCCUUUGGCUACAUCUUCUACAGACCCAGUGAUAAUGUGGUCUUUGUAGCAAGAAGAGGAUUCUUUCGAGAGAGAGAAUUCAUG
rnacentral:lncRNA from 1 species